rnacentral:hammerhead_ribozyme from 1 species
AUCCAGCUGACCAGUCCCAAAUAGGACGAAACGCGUGUACUGGAU